CCUCGUCGAUCUGCUGCGGGCAGAUGAAGUGGAUGUGGGCGUCCAUGCCGCCGGCCGUCAGGAUCUUGCCUUCGCCGGCGAUCGCCUCGGUGCCCGGGCCGAUGACGAUGUCGACGCCCGGCUGCACAUCCGGAUUGCCGGCCUUGCCGAUCGCCACGAUCCGCCCGUCCUUGAGGCCGACAUCGGCCUUGACGAUGCCCCAUGUGUCGAUGAUCAGCGCAUUGGUGAUCACGGUGUCGACGGCGCCCUCGGCGCGGGUGCGCUGCGACUGGCCCAUGCCGUCACGGA
rnacentral:sRNA from 1 species